AGGAUGAACGCUGGCGGCGUGCCUAACACAUGCAAGUCGAACGUCCUGUCUCGCAAGAGGCAGGGAGUGGCGGACGGGUGAGUACCACGUGGGUUAUCUACCGUGAGGUGAGGAAUACCGGCGAGAAAUCGCCGACAAGACCGCAUAGCCUCGGUGCAAGCCGAGGAAAGCUUUCUCGAGAGAGGGAGCGCCACACGAGGAGCCUGCGCCCGAUUAGCUAGCUGGUGGAGUAACGGUUCACCAGGGCGACGAUCGGUAGCUGGUCUGAGAGGACGAUCAGCCACACUGGGAUUGAGAACGGCCCAGACUCCUACGGGGGGCAGCAGUGAGGAAUUUUCGUCAAUGGGGGCAACCCUGAACGAGCAACGCCGCGUGCAGGAAGAAGGUUUUCGGAUCGUAAACUGCUUUUCUCGGGGAAGAGAACGGACGGUACCCGAGGAAUCGAGCCCCGGCUAACUACGUGCCAGCAGCCGC
rnacentral:rRNA from 1 species